AAGAAUAUGAACAAAUGAAUAAGAAACGGAAAAUUCAAUACCAUGCUAUUCUAGAAAAACUAAAAAAGACGACUCUUUUUCACUCUUUGAAAUACUCUUUUAUGAAAGAUUUGCUCAAACUUUUCAAAAAGCAUAUUGAUUUGAUUACAAAAACCACUGUACGUUUCUUCUAAAUCUAAACAUCCUUAUUUUGGUUUUAAGCCUUUCUCCAACCAAUCAGCCCUAGGAAUAGGAACAAAAAAUUGGAAACAACAAAGAGAGAAGAGUCUCAAGACCAUAAAAAAUCAUCUGGAUCAAAUGUACUUAGCCUCAUUUCAAAUAUUUCUAGUCAAACUAUUUGCUAAGAGACUAGUCAAAAAAAUGUAAAUAAACAAAAGAUGAGGCUCAGAUUUUCGCCUAUUUAAUCAAAGAAAAGAGCAGAGUUAACACUGACAUGGCUGCAAUCAUCGGUUGGCUUAUAAGAAAGACCUUCCGACUUUUCUUGCCAAGCCAGGCCAUGAAUCAACUCCAAAUCUUUCACUUUUCAUUAAGAAAAAUCAUCAUUGCCUCUGAAACUUAGGAUUUUUCAAGAUUAAAACAAGGCAUGAAAGUGUGGAUACUGUGUAAGAUAAAUUAUGCAACAAUUAGCCUCUGAAAGUACAUGAAUUCGCAUAUACAUAAAAGCUUUGGACUUGUCUCAUAUGCCUAAUAAUUUCUCUCUAGGAAAAUAUGGAGAUGAGUACAUAAAAUAAUUCUUUCGAAAUUGGGAUUCUUCAAAAACAGAAGAAAGAACAUGAACAGAAUGUAAUGGAAGGACUACUCAUUGAAGAACUAAGUUUAACAGAAAAGUGGCUCAGAUUAUCCUUAAAUAUAUCAGAAAAAUGGCCAAUCCGCCAUAGCUGCAAGAAGCAGACCCCUUUGUGAGAGAGCACAUAAGAACUCACCUCACAAAUUUUCCUACAUUUGCCUAACCAAGGUACGAAUUCGCUCAAAAAUGUGAC
rnacentral:lncRNA from 1 species